rnacentral:rRNA from 1 species
UUGGAUACUGGAAUGAACGAUCUUACAUUUAAAUCGUUUCUUUGAAUAUUUUUAUAAUUUAGAGUUUAGGUUAAAAUACCUAAAUUUAUUAAAAAGACGAUAAGACCCUAAAAGCUUUAUUUUGUUUGAUAAAUCAAAUAUAUUUUUUACUGGGGUAGUUUUUUUAUAGGUUAAACUGAAUUAAGCUUUUGUUUAAUUAUUCCUUUAUACAAGGAUAUAGAUAAGUUACUUUAGGGAUAACAGCACAAUAUUAUUGAAGAGCACAUAUCUAUAAUAAUGUUUGUGACCUCGAUGUUGAAUUAAUAGUUCUUUUAAAAGCAGAUUUUUAGGGAGAAGGUUUGUUCAACCUUUAAU